GACGAACGCUGGCGGCGUGCCUAAUACAUGCAAGUAGAACGCUGAAGGAGGAGCUUGCUUCUCUGGAUGAGUUGCGAACGGGUGAGUAACGCGUAGGUAACCUGCCUGGUAGCGGGGGAUAACUAUUGGAAACGAUAGCUAAUACCGCAUAAGAGUAGAUGUUGCAUGACAUUUGCUUAAAAGGUGCAAUUGCAUCACUACCAGAUGGACCUGCGUUGUAUUAGCUAGUUGGUGGGGUAACGGCUCACCAAGGCGACGAUCCAUAGCCGACCUGAGAGGGUGAUCGGCCACACUGGGACUGAGACACGGCCCAGACUCCUACGGGAGGCAGCAGUAGGGAAUCUUCGGCAAUGGACGGAAGUCUGACCGAGCAACGCCGCGUGAGUGAAGAAGGUUUUCGGAUCGUAAAGCUCUGUUGUAAGAGAAGAACGAGUGUGAGAGUGGAAAGUUCACACUGUGACGGUAUCUUACCAGAAAGGGACGGCUAACUACGUG
rnacentral:rRNA from 1 species